GAUGAACGCUGGCGGCGUGCUUAACACAUGCAAGUCGAACGGGAAACCUUUUAUUGAAGCUUCGGCAGAUUUAGCUGGUUUCUAGUGGCGGACGGGUGAGUAACGCGUGGGUAACCUGCCCUACACAGGGGGAUAACAACCAGAAAUGGUUGCUAAUACCGCAUAAGCGCACAGGGCCGCAUGGUCCGGUGUGAAAAACUCCGGUGGUAUAGGAUGGACCCGCGUUGGAUUAGCCAGUUGGCAGGGUAACGGCCUACCAAAGCGACGAUCCAUAGCCGGCCUGAGAGGGUGAACGGCCACAUUGGGACUGAGACACGGCCCAGACUCCUACGGGAGGCAGCAGUGGGGAAUAUUGCACAAUGGGGGAAACCCUGAUGCAGCGACGCCGCGUGAAGGAAGAAGUAUCUCGGUAUGUAAACUUCUAUCAGCAGGGAAGAUAGUGACGGUACCUGACUAAGAAGCCCCGGCUAACUACGUG
rnacentral:rRNA from 1 species